rnacentral:ncRNA from 2 species
GCCGGGCGUGGUGGCUCACGCCUGUAAUCCCAGCACUCGGGGAGGCCAAGACGGGUGGAUCACCUCAGGUCAGGAGUUCGAGACCAGCCUGACCAACAUGGUGAAACCCCGUCUUUA